AACGAACGCUGGCGGCAUGCCUAACACAUGCAAGUCGAACGAGACCUUCGGGUCUAGUGGCGCACGGGUGCGUAACGCGUGGGAAUCUGCCCUUGGGUUCGGAAUAACAGUUGGAAACGACUGCUAAUACCGGAUGAUGACGUAAGUCCAAAGAUUUAUCGCCCAAGGAUGAGCCCGCGUAGGAUUAGCUAGUUGGUGAGGUAAAGGCUCACCAAGGCGACGAUCCUUAGCUGGUCUGAGAGGAUGAUCAGCCACACUGGGACUGAGACACGGCCCAGACUCCUACGGGAGGCAGCAGUGGAGAAUAUUGGAGACUGGGAGAAAGCGUGAUCCAGCAAUGCCGCGUGAGUGAUGAAGGCCUUAGGGUUGUAAAGCUCUUUUACCCGGGAUGAUAAUGACGGUACCGGGAGAAUAAGCUCCGGCUAACUCCGUG
rnacentral:rRNA from 1 species